rnacentral:rRNA from 1 species
UACGAAGGGGGCUAGCGUUGCUCGGAAUUACUGGGCGUAAAGCGCGUGUAGGUGGAUUGGUGUGUCAGAUGUGAAAUCCCUGGGCUCAACCCAGGAACUGCACCUGAAACUACCAGUCUUGAGUGGUGGAGAGGGAAGUGGAAUUCCUGGUGUAGAGGUGAAAUUCGUAGAUAUCAGGAGGAACACCAGUGGCGAAGGCGGCUUCCUGGACACCAACUGACGCUGAGACGCGAAAGCGUGGGGAGCAAACAGG